GACAACGUGACUAAUUGCAUGUCUAAUAUCUAUACACUAAGAACCAACUUUUCAAUAAAAUAUUUUCUAUUGUGUAUUGGAAGGCGUCGGAACGUAAAAAAUCCAUAUUAAACGAUUUCAUUUUUCCACAACAAAAAAUAAUAAAACUAUAAACAACUGUGAACUGUGAAGCAGAUGAAAUUACAAAGAUUAAAGAAACAAAAACUUUAAGAACAAAGGGUAUGUAGAUACACGCGGAGAAGAAUGAAUGUACCAAUCUCUAGGCUUCAGCCGUGGUCUCAAUGUAGCGAUUUCAAGACUGGUGAACACUUUUGUUUCCGGGUGUGCAUACAUAAAAAAUAACAUAGAAUACUCGUAAUAUGAAUAGCUUUUAGUUUUAUAAUCAAGUUUUAAUUACACAUGUGCUGGUUUCGGAUAAAGCAAAAAAUGUUUUUCCUUUGCAGUUUUGACGUAAAAUCAAAGAUAUUUUUUUUUCCUUUUGUAAACUCAAUCCGGGAACAUACUGUAGAGUGACAAAACAAGCUGGUUACACAUAUUAUUUAGAAUUUAUUUUUAUCAGUCAUACU